AUUCGAUGCAACGCGAAGAACCUUACCUACUCUUGACAUCCAGAGAAUUAGCCAGAGAUGGCUGAGUGCCUUCGGGAGCUCUGAGACAGGUGCUGCAUGGCUGUCGUCAGCUCGUGUUGUGAAAUGUUGGGUUAAGUCCCGCAACGAGCGCAACCCUUAUCCUUUGUUGCCAGCGAUUCGGUCGGGAACUCAAAGGAGACUGCCGGUGAUGAAACCGGAGGAAGGUGGGGAUGACGUCAAGUCAUCAUGGCCCUUACGAGUAGGGCUACACACGUGCUACAAUGGCGUAUACAAAGAGAAGCGAGCCUGCGAGGGGAAGCGGACCUCAUAAAGUACGUCGUAGUCCGGAUUGGAGUCUGCAACUCGACUCCAUGAAGUCGGAAUCGCUAGUAAUCGUAGAUCAGAAUGCUACGGUGAAUACGUUCCCGGGCCUUGUACACACCGCCCGUCACACCAUGGGAGUGGGUUGCAAAAGAAGUAGGUAGCUUAACCUUCGGGAGGGCGCUUACCACUUUGUGGUUCACGCUGGCGGCGUGCCUAACACAUGCAAGUCGAACGGAGUUAAAUAAAAGCUUGCUUUUAUUUAACUUAGUGGCGGACGGGUGAGUAACACGUGGGUAACCUGCCCUAAACACAGGGAUAACAAUGAGAAAUCAUUGCUAAUACCGGAUAAGCUUACAAUAACACAAGUUAUAGUAAGAAAAGAUUUAUCGGUUUAGGAUGGGCCCGCGUCUGAUUAGCUAGUAGGUGGGGUAAUGGCUCACCUAGGCGACGAUCCCUAGCUGGUCUGAGAGGAUGACCAGCCACACUGGAACUGAGACACGGUCCAGACUCCUACGGGAGGCGGCAGUGGGGAAUAUUGCACAAUGGGCGCAAGCCUGAUGCAGCCAUGCCGCGUGUGUGAAGAAGGCCUUAGGGUUGUAAAGCACUUUCAGCGAGGAGGAAGGAUGAAGUGUUAAUAGCACUUGAUAUUGACGUUACUCGCAGAAGAAGCACCGGCUAACUCCGUGCCAGCAGCCGCGGUAAUACGGAGGGUGC
rnacentral:rRNA from 1 species